rnacentral:lncRNA from 1 species
UAUUUUGUUGCACCUCUUAUAGGACUUUCACAAAAUUUGAGACAAAAAUUUUAACUGUAAAUUUGUUUUUAUCAUUGGCUUUCCUAUUAAUACGCUUUCUAGACUUAAAAUGCAUUUGUGAAUGAAGCAAAUAGGGAAGAGGAAUAAUAAAAAAAAAUAGCUGUUUUACUGCUUCUAAAAACACGGGUACGUGAUAUAAUUGCUUUUAUUCUUUAAAUUUAAAGUGCGUAUCAACGUGGUACAUAAUUUUAUUUGUUUCAUAAUUUAAUUUGCAUAUUUGUGUAUUUUGUAAAAAAAAGUAUAUAAAAACACUACAAAUCGUAAUUUUAAAAAAUUUCAAUCAUUGUAUUUUGCAAUUUGUAAGUCCAGUAUUGUAAGUAUUUCAUAAUAAAGUCCAUUUCUGAAUAAAAAAUUACUUUUUGUAGUAAAUCAAGCUGCCAGUGAUUUCUUCUGUGGCUUCAAUAGGGUGUUUAACAGUAAGUUUAUUUCUUGUGCAUUCUCAUGUAAGCUAUGCAUACCGUUUAUUAAACUUAAUAAAUUAACAAUGCUAAUGCUACUCAAAAAACGGAAAUAUGCAUUUUUAUAAAUAUCGAAAAUUGACAAAUACUUUGAUUAAUAUCAAAAAGUUACUAACUCUUUCCAUUCUUUCAAAAUCAUCAGAGUAACUUAUAUUUACUGAAAAUAUCUCAGUAAUUAUUGCAAUUCUUAUAUACUAUUGCAAAUGCAUCUAUUAAGGCAAAUGUAUCUGAAAAUAAGUGAUUGACACUAAUAAAUGCAUGAAAACUGAAAAUAAAUCAGGUAUUAUCAUAAAUUUUCAGCUUCGAUAUUUGAAAUAGAGUAUUUUCGAUUGCUUACUAUAAUUAUCCGUAAUUGUUAGCUUUUUAGAGAGUAACGUUUCGAUUAUCUGAGCAACAUAAAAUUAAGCAUAAUACAAAAUCGCAAAAUAUUUCAUUCAAUCAGACAUUUUCGUUAUAUAGAUAAAAAGAAAUCCGAUAAAUCUCAAAUGAUCCAGCUUCUUUUAUAACUUUAACAAAUUAUUUUCAGCAUAUUUUUGAUUUUAGAGGCAUGUUUGAGGUUUGAACUAAAAAUAUCUAGGAUGAGCCAAACUGCCCUCUUCGAUUUUCUUGACAGUUUUCAAUUUUUCUAGUGUUAUGCAAUGAGGAUUAAUAGUUUGGAAGUUAAACUUACAACACAGAGAAUUAUUUCCUACCGUUAGUCAGAAGUUAACAAUAUGUGAAUGUAAACAAUAAAUAUGAUAAUAUGAUGUAAUAAACAUGAUGUGAAUAAGAAAUAUGAUAAAAAUUAUGUAAUAAUUACCAUCGAAAUUAGGAAAUAUUACUUAUACUUCUAUAACGGGAUACAUCUUUAGAAAGGCAAUAGCACUCAAAAAGUAUUCUGUCUCAACGCAUUCAAAUUGUGUUUCCCUUUAUACAUUUAUUCUAAUAUAUUUUAUAAUUUUAAAUAUGCUAUAUUUUAAUAAUUUUGAUUGAAAAUAAUUAAAAUUAGUUAAAAUCAUUUUUUAAUAAUAAGAUUUGCAAUUACAGAAAUCGGAAGCAAAGCUGGAAAGGGUAAGACAUUUUUCGUUUAAUUACUAUUCGAAAAACAUGAAAAUAAACUAAAUUUUAAUAUAAUUUAUAUUCACUUACAUUUUGUUUUUUGAUUAGGUGGUAAGUAAUUGAUUCCUUUACUAGAGAACUACUUAUAUGUCAAAAUAAUUUUUGUUAAGCAUUUUAAAAUGCUUCAAAAGGAAAUGCUUAUUCUUUGUAAUUUGCGAAUAAUUUAUAUAAUUUAUUCUAACUUUAUGUAAUAAUUUAGAUAAUUUCUUGUUAUUUUACAUAAUUAAUUUUUUAAUAUCAUCGUGAAAUAAAAUUGUGCUUGAUAAAAUGCAGUUCAAGAGAAAUUACAUGCCGAUAAAAUAGUAAUUUUUCAAAAUUCAUGAUAAUGAACGCAUUCCUCAAUUUGUUUGUAUGUUUGAGAGAUUAAGAAAAUAAUAAUACAAAAUAUGACACUCUAGUAUUUUUGCUUUUAUUUAAAGUCUAGGGAUUGUUUUGAUAAAAUCUAUACUAUGGUUUCUAGCAUUUGCAAUGAAUUGACAUAAAUUAACGAAACGUAUACCCCAGAUUUUAGAUAAUAGCACAAGUAAACUAUCAAAUUUAUAAAACAAAAUAAAAAGAGGAAUUUUUAAAAUUACGUGAUUACUAAAUUUUAUUUGAUCCCUACGAUGAGGAACGAGAACACAUUGGCUACGAUUUAAAUGUUUACGGCAGACAGAAGAAAACAAAUAGAUUUCAACACAUCUUUAGUAUGCUUUAAAUACACUGGUGUUCAAAAUACUUAAUUUGCGUACUUUGUCAAAUUUUAUAAAAACAACCAAACGUAUUUUAAAACUACUGCAGUAAAACAAAGAUGUAAAUCAUGCGUGUCAUGGACGUAAGCACUGUUAGUGCGUGGAGGUAGGUUUAGUAGAGGAAUAGACUCUCUAAGCACGCAUGGCAAAAUCUGCUUUUCGUUCUCUCGCAAAUCUUGCUGAAUUUCUCAGUGUUUUUUGCAUCAAACUUAAUCAAUUUUAUUAAUUUUACUUCAACAAAAAUUAAUAGCUACAAAUGUUUACAUUUUAGAAUGAGCAUAGUAGGGAGAUUUGAAACAAGUCAGUCUGAAAUCCAAUUUCAGGAUUCCGGAUCUGUCAUAAGAAAGCUUAUCUAGCGAAAAUCGGUAUUUUUUGAUUAAAGGCAUACUAAAGAUUUUCAACUCUCUCGUGAAGUCUAAGCGGCAUGCCGAAUUUCUAGGGUUAUUUUUUCCAGAAGGAUUUCAUGAGCAACGGCUAUUUGCAAGAAGUCUCGCUGUUUGCGUCCUGCUGACUUCUGACAACGGGAUAGUCCAUGUCGGAUCAUAGAGAAUGAGCAUGGAUCAAUGGUUUUUUCGCAGAUGAGUCCUACUUUAAUCUGACCAAUGACUCUUGACAUAUCUUCAUCGGGAUGGAACCAGAACCAGCCUGCUUUUGAAUGUUCGAGAAAUUCAGUAUUAGGGUGAUAAAGGUUUACUGAUCUGGGAAGGCAUAACGCUGGAUUCCCGCUCACCUCCCCAUAUCCUUAAAAGAGAUACUGUGUCUGGUGUGUCUGGUAUAGGGAAGAGGUUUAAGAGUCAUAUGCAAUCAAUCAAAUUUAUAAAACAAAAUAAAAAGAGGAAUUUUUAAAAUUACGUGAAUACUAAAUUUUAUGUGAUCCCUACGAUGAGAGAUGAGAACACAUUGACCACGAUUUAAAUUUUUACGGCAGACAGAAGAAAACAAAUAGAUUUCAACACAUCUUUAGUAUGCUUUAAAUACACUGGUGUUUAAAAUACUUAAUUUGCAUACUUUGUCAAAUUUUAUAAAAACAACCAAACGUAUUUUAAAACUACUGCUGCAAAACAAAGAUGUAAAUCAUGCGUGUCAUGGACGUAAGCACUGUUAGUGCGUGGAGGUAGGUUUAGUAGAGGAAUAGACUCUCUAAGCACGCAUGGCAAAAUCUGUUUUUCGUUCUCUCGCAAAUCUUGCUGAAUUUCUUAGUGUUUUUUGCAGUAAGCUUAACCAAUUUUAUUAAUUUUACUUCAACAAAAAUUAAUAGCUACAAAUGUUUACAUUUUAGAAUGAGGAGGAACAUAGAAGGGAGAUUUGAAACAAGUCAGUCUGAAAUCCAAUUUCAGGAUUCUGGAUCUGUCAUAAGAAAACUUAUCUAGCGAAAAUCGGUAUUUUUUGAUUAAAGGCAUACUAAAGAUUUUCAACUCUCUGGUGAAGUCUAAGCGGCAUGCCGAAUUUCUAGGGUUAUUUUUUCCAGAAGGAUUUCAUGAGCAACGGCUAUUUGCAAGAAGUCUCGCUGUUUGCGUCCUGCUGACUUCUGACAACGGAAUAGUUUAUGUCGGAUUUCGCCUAGAUCAUAGACAAGGAGCAUGGAUCUAUGGUUUUUUCACAGAUGAGUCCUACUUUAAUCUGGCCAAUGACUCUUGACAUAUCUUUAUCGGGAUGGAACUAGAACCAGCCUGCUCUUGAAUGUUCGAGAAAUUCAGUAUUAGGGUGCAAAAGUUUACUGAUAUGGGUAGACAUAAUGCUGGAUACCAGCUCACCUCUCCGUGUCCUUAAAAUAUAUACUGUGUCUGGUAUAGGGAAGAGGUUUAAGAGUCAUAUGUUUGAAGUUUUUCAGAGGUUGCUUAAGGAGCCGUUUCUCGUUCCUUGCAUGAAUAAUUCUUUUGCAAUUCUAAUCAUUUGCAUGUCUUACCUUCCUUUAUGUUUCACGUAAGUUAGGCCGAGUCACAUAAUUCUUUUUGGAGAUGUAAAUUUCUCAAAUAUGAGUGUAAUGUAUUAAAUGAGUAUGUUUAGUAAUAUUUUUUGUCGCCACCUUUUUAUUUGUUAUUUUUAAGAAAAUUAUACCAUGAAUUUGGAAACAUUAUUAUGAUACAAAAUUUUCAAUGCAUUUAUUUCGUGUUUUUGUUUUACAGAUCUUAUCGGCGCAGUCCUAAGUGGUGCAAACACAUUUAUAACUGGCGCUGGAAGCUUCUUUGGAAAUGCUGGCACAAAUGCUCUCGGUGCAAUUACAAGUGGAGUCAGUGAUGGUAUUCAUGGAAGACGUGGAAAGAAAGGAUACGUACAUGACCGUAGCAGUGGCAAAAAGAACGGCGGUGGUCUUCUUGGUGGUCUUUUUGGCGGUUAAGAAAAUAUGACCUAAACUAUAGAGAGGAAAUAAUAAAACAUGGAUCAUGAAUAUGGACUUUGAUUAAUUCUCACUAUGUAUGAAUACAGCUAAUAUUUGUUGGGAAAAAAGUUUAACUAAAUUUUGUACUUAGCCAUACGUAAAUAUCAAUAAAUAUAUAUUUUCUGCAAGCA